rnacentral:rRNA from 1 species
GCGCAAGCGAAUUAAGGGCGCAUGGGGGAUACCUAGGCUCUCAGAGGCGAUGAAGGACGUGAUAAGCUGCGAAAAGCUACGGGGAUUGGCACAUACAAAUUGAUCCGUAGAUAUCCGAAUGGGGCAACCCAGUACCAUGAAGUGGUAUUACCCUACGGGGGGCAAACGCGGGGAACUGAAACAUCUAAGUACCCGCAGGAGAAGAAAACAAUAGUGAUUCCGCAAGUAGUGGCGAGCGAACGCGGAUUAGCCCAAACCAGCCUGGUUACGGCCAGACUGGGGUUGUAGGACUCACCGAGUGUAUAAUAAUUGAACUGGAAUGACGUGGGAAAGUCAAUCGUAGAGGGUGAGAAUCCCGUACAGGUAAGAGCAUUAUAUGAGUGAGUAUCCUGAGUAAGUGGGGACCGGAGAAAUCCCCUCUGAAUCCGGCGGCACCAUCCGCCAAGGCUAAAUACUCCUGAGAGACCGAUAGUGAACUAGUACCGUGAGGGAAAGGUGAAAAGUACCGCGAGCAGCGGGGUGAAAUAGAACUUGAAACCAUGCGCUUACAAGCGGACGGAGCCUACGGGUGACGUCGUGCCUUUUGCAUAAUGAGCCUACGAGUUACGGUCACUGGCAAGGUUAAUUCACUGAAGUGAAGGAGCCGAAGCGAAAGCGAGUCUGAAAUGGGCGAUUAGUCAGUGGCUGUAGACGCGAAACUUGGUGAUCUACCCUUGGUCAGGUUGAAGCGCUGGUAACACAUCGUGGAGGACCGAACCGGUAAACGUUGAAAAGUUUUCGGAUGAACUGAGGGUAGGGGUGAAAGGCCAAUCAAACUGAGAAAUAGCUCGUACUCCCCGAAAUGUUUUUAGGAACAGCGUCGUGGUUGAGUCAUGUUCAGGUAGAGCUACUGAUAGGACUAGGGGGAGUCAAAUCCUACCAAAUUCUGACAAACUCCGAAUGGGGCAUGAUAUACACGGCAGUGAGGGCUGGGGUGCUAAGGUCCCAGUCCGAGAGGGGAACAACCCAGAGCAUCAGCUAAGGUCCCAAAAUAUAUGCUAAGUUGAACUAAGGGGGUCCGACUGCAGAGACAGCCAGGAUGUUAGCUUGGAAGCAGCUAUACAUUUAAAGAGUGCGUAACAGCUCACUGGUCGAGCGGGGCGGGCAUCGAUAAUAAACGGGCAUCAAGCAUAUUACCGAAGCUAUGCGAUAGUAAUUUAUUACGAUCGGUAGGGGAGCAUUCUCACAGGGGUGAAGCUGUGGCGUAAGCUGCGGUGGACUGGUGAGAAAAGCAAAUGUAGGCAUAAGUAACGAUAAUGCGGAUGAGAAAUCCGCACACCGAAAGACUAAGGAUUCCUCCGCUAUGCUAAUCAACGGAGGGUUAGGCGGGGCCUAAGGGAUAGCCGACAGGCGAUUUUCGAUGGACAGCAGGUUAAUAUUCCUGCCCUUGCAUGCAGUGUGAAAAAGUGACGGAGUAUUGUGGUAAGUACGUACUGACGGAAUAGUGCGUUGAGCAGAGCCUACGGGCGAAGCGAACUUACGAAAACGCUUCCAAGAAAAGCUUUUGAAACAUCAGCUGUACGCAACCCGUACCGUAAACCGACACAGGUAGUCGAGAAGAAUAUUCUAAGGUGCUCGAGUGAAUCACGGCUAAGGAACUCGGCAAAUUAACCCUGUAACUUCGGGAGAAGGGGAGCCUACUCG